rnacentral:lncRNA from 1 species
CAUCUCGAGCAUGUCCCAUAGGAGAGUGGAAUGAAGUCCGUUGUAUUGUUGGCAUAGUAGCAGAUGUGCCAUUGUUCUAUUGUGAAAUUCUGUCCGUUGUUGCUAUCCUGUGUAAGGAAAUGUAUUCAUGGGAUGAGUUAUUGUAUUAUGUAAACCUCGGAGAUGUAUUAUGUGAUGUUAUGUGAUGGAUGAUUUUAAUUCGAUUU